rnacentral:rRNA from 1 species
AUUGAACGCUGGCGGCAUGCCUUACACAUGCAAGUCGAACGGCAGCACGGGAGCAAUCCUGGUGGCGAGUGGCGAACGGGUGAGUAAUAUAUCGGAACGUGCCCAGUAGUGGGGGAUAGCCCGGCGAAAGCCGGAUUAAUACCGCAUACGACCUGAGGGUGAAAGCGGGGGAUCGCAAGACCUCGCGCUAUUGGAGCGGCCGAUAUCAGAUUAGCUAGUUGGUGGGGUAAAGGCCUACCAAGGCUACGAUCUGUAGUUGGUCUGAGAGGACGACCAGCCACACUGGGACUGAGACACGGCCCAGACUCCUACGGGAGGCAGCAGUGGGGAAUUUUGGACAAUGGGCGCAAGCCUGAUCCAGCAAUGCCGCGUGCAGGAAGAAGGCCU